ACCCAGUUGAUGAGUCUCAAAUAGAACGAAACGCGCGACCUAGAU
rfam:Schistosoma haematobium scaffold778_1, whole genome shotgun sequence.